rnacentral:rRNA from 1 species
UGGGCUUGACAUGUCCGGCAUCCUGCAGAGAUGCGGGAGUGCCCUUCGGGGAAUCGGAACAC